UGGAGGAUAAUUAUGGGAUGGAUAC
rnacentral:misc_RNA from 1 species